CUUUGGGUGAUCUGCCUCGCACUUCGGGAUAAGCCUGGGAAACUGGGUCUAAUACCGGAUAUGACCUUUCAGUGCAUGCUGUUGGGUGGAAAGAUUUAUCGGUGCGAGAUGGGCCCGCGGCCUAUCAGCUUGUUGGCGGGGUAACGGCCCACCAAGGCGACGACGGGUAGCCGACCUGAGAGGGUGACCGGCCACACUGGGACUGAGACACGGCCCAGACUCCUACGGGAGGCAGCAGUGGGGAAUAUUGCACAAUGGGCGGAAGCCUGAUGCAGCGACGCCGCGUGAGGGAUGACGGCCUUCGGGUUGUAAACCUCUUUCGACAGGGACGAAGCGCAAGUGACGGUACCUGUAGAAGAAGCACCGGCCAACUACGUGCCAGCAGCCGCGGUAAUACGUAGGGUGCGAGCGUUGUCCGGAAUUACUGGGCGUAAAGAGCUUGUAGGCGGUUUGUCGCGUCGUCCGUGAAAACUUGGGGCUCAACCCCAAGCUUGCGGGCGAUACGGGCAGACUUGAGUACUUCAGGGGAGACUGGAAUUCCUGGUGUAGCGGUGAAAUGCGCAGAUAUCAGGAGGAACACCGGUGGCGAAGGCGGGUCUCUGGGAAGUAACUGACGCUGAGAAGCGAAAGCGUGGGUAGCGAACAGGAUUAGAUACCCUGGUAGUUCACGCCGUAAACGGUGGGGUACUAGGUGUGGGUUUCCUUUCCACGGGAUCCGUGCCGUAGCUAACGCAUUAAGUACCCCGCCUGGGGAGUACGGCCGCAAGGCUAAAACUCAAAGGAAUUGACGGGGGCCCGCACAAGCGGCGGAGCAUGUGGAUUAAUUCGAUGCAACGCGAAGAACCUUACCUGGGUUUGACAUACACCGGAAACCUGCAGAGAUGUAGGCCCCCUUGUGGUCGGUGUACAGGUGGUGCAUGGCUGUCGUCAGCUCGUGUCGUGAGAUGUUGGGUUAAGUCCCGCAACGAGCGCAACCCUUGUCCUGUGUUGCCAGCGGAUUAUGCCGGGGACUCGCAGGAGACUGCCGGGGUCAACUCGGAGGAAGGUGGGGACGACGUCAAGUCAUCAUGCCCCUUAUGUCCAGGGCUUCACACAUGCUACAAUGGCCGGUACAGAGGGCUGCGAUACCGUGAGGUGGAGCGAAUCCCUUAAAGCCGGUCUCAGUUCGGAUCGGGGUCUGCAACUCGACCCCGUGAAGUUGGAGUCGCUAGUAAUCGCAGAUCAGCAACGCUGCGGUGAAUACGUUCCCGGGCCUUGUACACACCGCCCGGCAAAGGGUAAAGUCGGUAACACCCGAUUCCCACGGCCUA
rnacentral:rRNA from 1 species